CUUCACUCCUCUGUGGAGAGAGACACAGGGAUUCCUGACCAAGCUGCCAUGGAUCCUUCCCUCCUCCAGGUCUGCUAACUCCAGGCCCUCCCUGUCCAGCCACGUUGUCUGGAGGCCACCUGGCAGUCUCAUCUGGGUUGGGAGGCGUGGGGUCUCAGAGCGGGAGGAGAGAACCUCGUGGUGGGGGGAGCUAGCAGUGAGGGAGUGGGCUGUGGGGAGUCUGGGUCCCACCCCCGGGACUCUGUCAGUGGCAGGGUAGGGGUACCCAGAGCCAUGGCAGGAACCACCCCCUGCCCGCCCCCGACUAGAGGCUCAGCUUCCCUGCGUGCACCUAGCUCAGGAAGCCUUCCUUUCUAGUCUCUACAGCUGUUUCCCUCUUUUCCCAUCUCAUUCUUCCCUCUUCAUUUCUGGCCUAUCUUUUAACAUCUCCAUCCCUUUGAUGCCUCAUCCAUCUCCUCUUCACCGUCUUGUCUUUGCCUGUUCCCUUUUCUGCUUCUCUGCUCCUCUUAAGGCUGGGUUUUCCUCCUGCGUCUCCUCUGUGCGCCUGUGAGUGUCCCCUGUCUGCUCAUCCUCUCUCCCUCUGUCCACCUGUUUCUCUUUCUUCCAGCGUUUCUCCAUCUCACGCGCUGCCUCUGUCAUUUUCUCUCUUUCUUCGUCUUUCUCUCUCUCUCAUUGUUCUGAGACAUAGCAGUGCCUGGCCCAGCGGGGACAACAUGUUUCACAGACAAAUCAUCCAACAAAAGAGAGGAGGAACGUGCUUCAGCUGGCUGUCCCCAUGCCUUCUGCUCCCGCUUCUGGAAGGGAAGACAGGGCAGGGACCAUGUCCAGCUGCAGAAAAUCCCAGUGUUUUUCUGUGGCAUUGCCUGGUAAAGGCUGAACGUGGCUUUCGUGAGAGCUAAUCUGCCUGCCCAACCAGAUUGUGCUGUGGCUAAAAUUGCUGUGAGCUCGACAGUGCCUGAAGACUGGAGAAAACUGAGCCAUGUCUUGGAUGCUCUUGCGGGGCCUAGGGGAGUGCCAGGCCAGAAGGAGAACUGCCUGUGGACUCUCAGUAGGAAAGCAGCUAACGAGGUGAUGAGUGAGUGUCGCCUGGAAGUCUGGGGGCCAUUCCAUGUGGGUCACAUCGCCUGACCAGAGGGUUGGGUGCCUGGACAGGGCUGAGCUUGGGACUCCUUCCAGGGCCUGGCCUCAGCUGCUGGGCCUGCCGAGCAUGCCCCACAAGCACCCACGCACACAUACAAGUAUGGAGGCAGAGUGGAAGUUUGACUUUUGCAGAUCUCGUACAGCCUGGAGUAGAGAAGAGAAUUGGGAACUCUCAAUGUUGUGUGACCCUAGGCAAGUCCCUUCCCUGCCUUGUGCCUCAGUUUCCCUUUACAUACCAUGAGGAUGUUCCCAGUGUUGGUGUUUUAAUGCCUGCAGACAAGCUAAGCUCAUCAUCUGGUUCCCGGAAGAGAUCCUCCUUUUGUGGAAAGGCCACAGCCACUCUGCCACCCUGAGGCUCCCACUCCUCCUUCUCUGGAACCCUCUCCCUUGCCUGUAGGUCACGGGAAUGUCAAGAGCACCCAGGGAAGUGCCUGCUGCCAGUCAUCACUCACUGAUUAUGUGACAGCAGAGGAGCCAAGAAGCUGCUGGGAAUCGAGACACCCCCCCAUUCAGUCCCCACCAUCUCUGUCUUCAUGAGGUUCCCUGGGAGAAGCUCCUAUGUCUGGGAAUGGAAAUGUCUCCACCUGGAUAGGGACAAACAGGAGCUGGGGGCUGCAUCUUAAGACUUCUUGUCCCAUUAGUGCUGACCUCUGGAGACGGCUCCUGAAUUGUGCCCACUCCCCCACCUCCUCACCACACACAUGCUCUGGGCCGUGCGAGGCUCAGCUUGUCACGGACAAGCUAAAAUGAGGUGGCCUGAAUGCCCCUUAUCAUAGACAGCUUAUCUCCUGUGGUCACUCACCUGACAGACUCCAGAGAGCCACUCAGCGGGCCUCUCCCAGCCGCCUGCUUCUCAGCUCUGACUCUCCCUUGCCUUAAGGGGACACUGGAUUCCAGUGACCCUCCUAUUGGUCAGAGUUGGGCUGAGCACAGAGAAGGGGUAGAAUGCUCCUGGGAACUCGGAAAGCUCUGGGAUGCCAGCUUUUCCCACAUGUUCUCACUCACCCCUCUGUAAUACAGAUUCUGCAGCCCUGCCCCCCACACACACACUCCUACACCUCUGCUCUCAAAGUGAAGAAGUAGGCUAAUAUCUGUGGUACAUUUAUUUACCUACUCCCUGAGACUGCAGCUCCCUUAGUCAGUGUUGUGUCCUCCACUCAGGCUGGGGCUCCCUGAGGAUGGGGCUGUGUCUCCCCUCAGACUGGGGUUCCCCAAGGACAGGGCUGUGUCUCUCCUUAGGCUGGGGUCCCUGAGGGUGGGGCUGUGUCUCCCUGCAGAUUGGGGCUCCCUGAGGAUGGGGCUGUGUCUCCCUGAAGACUGGGGCUCCCUGAGGACAGGGCUGUGUCUCCCCUCAGGCUGGGGCUCCUUGAGGAUGGGACACUUUAAAGAAGAGAAAUUGACAGGUUGACCCUGGGGGAUCUUUGGGUCAAUAAAACAUUCUAUAGACCCUCAGUGGUCAGACUAGGAUGAUACCUUGA
rnacentral:lncRNA from 1 species